GCUCUGCUAUUUCAAUGGCCAGAAUUCGGGACUUUUAUUCACCUCUUGAAGAGGGAAGUCGCGAUCCCGCGGUUGUGGGUUCGAGUCCCACGUGGAGCG
rfam:Tilletiaria anomala TBC 951 K437scaffold_14, whole genome shotgun sequence.